rnacentral:rRNA from 1 species
UACGGAGGGGGCGAGCGUUAAUCGGAAUUACUGGGCGUAAAGCGUGCGCAGGCGGUCUGGUAAGACCGAUGUGAAAUCCCCGGGCUUAACCUGGGAACUGCAUUGGUGACUGGCAGGCUUUGAGUGUGGCAGAGGGAGGUAGAAUUCCACGUGUAGCAGUGAAAUGCGUAGAGAUGUGGAGGAAUACCGAUGGCGAAGGCAGCCUCCUGGGCCAACACUGACGCUCAUGCACGAAAGCGUGGGGAGCAAACAGG